GUAUACUCACUUCGAUAGCACAUAUACUAAAAUUAGAACAGUGCAGAGAUUAGCAUGGUCCCUGCACAAGGGUGACACGCACAUUCGUGAGGCGUUCCUUAUUUUU